GAUGAACGCUGGCGGCGUGCCUAAUACAUGCAAGUCGAGCGAACGGACGAGAAGCUUGCUUUUCUGAUGUUAGCGGCGGACGGGUGAGUAACACGUGGAUAACCUACCUAUAAGACUGGGAUAACUUCGGGAAACCGGAGCUAAUACCGGAUAAUAUUUUGAACCGCAUGGUUCAAAAGUGAAAGACGGUCUUGCUGUCACUUAUAGAUGGAUCCGCGCUGCAUUAGCUAGUUGGUAAGGUAACGGCUUACCAAGGCAACGAUGCAUAGCCGACCUGAGAGAGUGAUAGGCCACACUGGAACUGAGACACGGUCCAGGCUCCUACGGGAGGCAGCAGUAGGGAAUCGUACGCAAUGGGCGAGAGCCUGACGGAGCAACGCCGCGUGAGUGAUGGAGGUCUUCGGAUCGUAAAACUCUGUUAUUAGGGAAGAACAUAUGUGUAAGUAACUGUGCACAUCUUGACGGUACCUAAUCAGAAAGCCACGGCUAACUACGUG
rnacentral:rRNA from 1 species